GUCUAUGACCAAAUCACCUGGAAUGCACCCGAUCUUGUCAGAUCUCAGAAGCUAAGCAGGUUUGAGACUGGAUAGGGCUUUGAUGGGCGACAUUACAUGUAUAAGAAGUAGGCU
rnacentral:rRNA from 1 species